AGAGUUUGAUCCUGGCUCAGGAUGAACGCUAGCGGCAGGCUUAAUACAUGCAAGUCGAGGGGCAACAGGGGUAGCAAUACCUGCUGGCGACCGGCAAACGGGUGCGGAACACGUACAGAACCUUCCUUUAAGUGGGGGAUAGCCCAGAGAAAUUUGGAUUAAUACCCCGUAACAUCAUUUAGUGGCAUCAUUGGAUGAUUAUAGAUUUAUCGCUUAGAGAUGGCUGUGCGGCUGAUUAGGUAGUUGGUGCAGGUAACGGCUCACCAAGCCUUCGAUCAGUAACUGGUGUGAGAGCACGACCAGUCACACGGGCACUGAGACACGGGCCCGACUCCUACGGGAGGCAGCAGUAAGGAAUAUUGGUCAAUGGACGGAAGUCUGAACCAGCCAUGCCGCGUGAAGGAUGAAGGUCCUCUGGAUUGUAAACUUCUUUUAUCUGGGAAGAAACCCUCGAAUUCUUUUGAGGUUGACGGUACCAGAGGAAUAAGCACCGGCUAACUCCGUGCCAGCAGCCGCGGUAAUACGGAGGGUGCGAGCGUUAUCCGGAUUCACUGGGUUUAAAGGGUGCGUAGGUGGGUCUGUAAGUCAGUGGUGAAAUCUCCGGGCUUAACCUGGAAACUGCCAUUGAUACUAUAGGUCUUGAAUUUUCUGGAGGUAAGCGGAAUAUGUCAUGUAGCGGUGAAAUGCUUAGAUAUGACAUAGAACACCAAUUGCGAAGGCAGCUUGCUACAGGAAUAUUGACACUGAGGCACGAAAGCGUGGGGAUCAAACAGGAUUAGAUACCCUGGUAGUCC
rnacentral:rRNA from 1 species